rnacentral:lncRNA from 1 species
CAUAAAAAUCAAAUUUUUGUUUUUUUUUGCGAUACCGCUUUCGAGCUUACCACGGCAGUGUAUGCGUUCUGAAUUGGCCACUGCACAGCCUUUUAAGUAAAAUAUCGCCCUCUAUUAGUUAUAUUGAGAAAUUUUGAUAAUAAAAUGUCAUUUUGAUUUGUUAUCUAGUGAUGUAUUGAUUUAGUUUUCUAAUAAUCGACUAUUUAGUUACGUAUAUUAGACUGGGUAAUUAAUGAAUUAUAAUUAUAUUUCGGUUCAUUAAAGGAAUUAAUCUCAUAACUAAUAAAUACCAAAACAUUAGUCAACUUGCUAUUCGUGCUUAUAAUAUUAUGUUACUCAGCCGAACUACAAACAAAUUAAGUAACAGCAUAUUACGUCUCAAGGUGAAUUCAUAGCUCUGAAUUAUGUUGCUAGUAUAUUUGGGCAAUGAUAUUGGUGUCGUUUACCAUAAGACAAGCGGCAUGCUCGCCUAGUUAGUAAACUGCAGUAGACAAAACAAAGCUGUAAAAGGCUGUAAUGUGGUCACUUGGUGGCAGGGUCGGGUACGUCUCCAUGCGGCAGCGCGUACGGUAGCGGCCGGCGCAGCGCGCGCACCACCAGCAGGUAGAACUCAGUGGAGGCCCGAACGGGAGCGACGGCCUCUCGGGGAGCUUCGCCCCGGUCCCCGCUGAUAUAUCUUCUCUAAUUGACAAAUACCAGCAAAGGAAAGAACAGGAGCGGCGCGAGUGUACAAUACACGUGUAACAUUAAAUUUGAAUGUACAAGACAUUCGAAUGUGAUCUCAAGACAUUGUUAAUGGGACUUAAUUGGAUGAACUACCAAUCCAUACUAAGUGCGAGGAUUUAUAAUGAUGAAAAAUGAAAUUUUAACAAACUUGUGAUGAUGACAUUGUUAAGUUCACGUAAGAUGUGACAAUGUACUCUAAUAUACGACCAGAAUGCUUUUAAACGAUCGAAUCACUAUUAAUACAUACAAUUAAUGUUACUACCACGACUCUAAAUUACAAAUAUUUUAUGGUAAAGUAAUAACUCAAAACCUAUAUUUUGGAAAACAUAGCUGAUGACUGAUGCUACCUAUAUAAUUGCGAUAUUGUAAAGAAAAGAAGUUGCUCGUUAUACAUUCUCUGAGAAUACGUUCUUAUUUGAAUAUGUACCUUGUUAUAUUCUGUUCUCUUUUUCAUACACGUUGACGUCAAAUGCUUUACGAUAUUUUAUGAAUGGCGUGUUCUUAAAUUAUUCUUUUCUUAUAUGGCAGACCUACCUCGUAUAAGAUUACAUUAAUUUCUGACAGGCUUAUAUAAAACAAAUUGUAUAUUUAACAAUAUUGUAUUUACAAAAGUAAAUACCGUACAUAUUAUUUAACGAAUAAAAUAAAAAAAUAAACAUGAUAAUCUUGCAUGAGAGACUUACCAAAAAAGUGUUUCAAAAAUGCUAAACAAGGCCGGGAGCAGGUUAAAGGACAACGUGUAAGCUUAUCGCAAGUUGUCUAUUUGAAUCCACGGCCAUACAAUUAAUAAAUAAUUUACAGAUAUAUUCGUCGUUAAAAUCUCAUAUUGGUGCUGUGUAUAUUAUGCUUCAUAUUGCGUAUUCACACGCAUUGUUAAUGUUUUAAUAUUGAAAUAUUAAUUUGCACCCGGCCUAAACACUCGCACGUCAUUAAAUACAGCUAAAGCAAUAAUGACGUCCCCUGCAAUGUUAAACAUAAUAUUGUUAAAAUGAGAAAUAUUUAAAGAAUAAUGUGAUUUAUUUAAAAUGCUGUUAAUCUAUGACAUUUUAGAUUUAUAAGAGUUAAAUAAAUUGUACAUAGUAGUUGUUGAUAAGUUAAAUAAAUGUGAAACGGCAUUUAAAAGGAAAGGGUUAAAAAAAUCUGAAGAAUUUGUUCACAUUACAAUGCAAGAUACAUAAAAAAGCAAAAAUGUAUUUGGUGUAAGAUCCAUAAUACACACAGACUUGAUAAUUGAUGAAUUUUAUAUCCGAUUGUUAAUUUUAGUAAUAAAUUUAAAGAUCUCGUAGCUCAAUAUUAUGUGUGUAUCCAACCAAGAACGUGUAUAAUAGUUUUUACAUGAAAUUGGCGAAUGUUUAAUAAUCCAAUUAAGUAGAUUAUAGUUAACAAAUGUCCAAAAUUAUAAACAUGAUAAUUGUAAGUCAGUAGUAAUAUUUUUUUGUCACGUGAUUCGAUGUACCAAUGUCUGUUUUCAUGGAACAUACUCAGAACGCGAUAAUUUUCAAAAUGCUUUUUGUGAUAUAAAUAAAAUAUAAAUGCCGUAACUGCAUAGGAAAACUGCUACAGUACACAAAAGUCACGUACCAAUGUCCAAUAAAAUAUUUUAUUUACACACCUCUCGUGUUGCGUGUAGUAAGCCAAUAUAUUAUGUUUCAUGCAUGUCCAGUAGCUUAAAUAAAAUUAAAUUUAAUGUAUGGCCUAAAAUGCAAUGAAACAAGAGAAGAGAAUAAAUUUUACAAAAUUCGUGGGUUUAAAUUGUGCAUAAUAAUGUGAUCUCAGUAUACUCAAUGAUCAGCAUCCGUUUAUAAUAUGUAGGUAUUUAUUUUACAUUUGGAUAUUUUCAAACACGGUGAAACCUCUUCAACUUUUUACACCACAGUCCGCUUUAAGACGUCCCUAACCAAAUUUUGAUAAAUACUCUUGUUUAAGAAUACAAUGACUUAGGUAACUAUAUUUUUCUGCAUUUGUGAUUCGUUUUUGUAUGACUAUUAAAUUAAGCCUCUGCUAAUGAAAUUAGACGUCUUUUACCUAGCAUCCCUUGUACAGUCAAUAGGUCAAAAGGCACUUCUUAUUUUUAAUUGUAAGCUAGAUAUUAACUAAGUUUAGAUUAAGUGAUGGCUGUUCCAAACCGCAAAUGAUACAUAUCAUUAUAAUAGACUGCCAGUAUAUAAGUAAUUCUUUUUAAUAUUGUUGAUUUAGUCGUUUAGCCAAUAAUUAUACACUAUUGUAUAAAAAUCUUUCUAUAUACAUGUUGUGUAAUAAUAAAAUUAUUAAAUAUUAGCGCAAAAGAUGGAAAAUAAAGAUGUGUGUUGUG